GUUUGAAUGUGAUUUGCAGUCAUUUAACUGGAUUUACUACUAUUUUUUGUUGUUUGUUUCUAUUUGAAGAAUCGGGAAUCAUGAUUAGUUCUGUUUUAAUCUCUUGAAUAUAUUAAUGAUAUUUUAAAGAUGCUUUAUUUGACCUGGAAAGUUAAAUAUGUGUCAUGUGAAGAUUUGAAAUUUUGAUGCAAUAUCCAAGAGAUUUAUAGAAGAAGAA
rnacentral:misc_RNA from 1 species